AUUGAACGCUGGCGGCAGGCUUAACACAUGCAAGUCGAGCGGGGGAAGGUAGCUUGCUACCGGACCUAGCGGCGGACGGGUGAGUAAUGCUUAGGAAUCUGCCUAUUAGUGGGGGACAACAUCUCGAAAGGGAUGCUAAUACCGCAUACGUCCUACGGGAGAAAGCAGGGGAUCUUCGGACCUUGCGCUAAUAGAUGAGCCUAAGUCGGAUUAGCUAGUUGGUGGGGUAAAGGCCUACCAAGGCGACGAUCUGUAGCGGGUCUGAGAGGAUGAUCCGCCACACUGGGACUGAGACACGGCCCAGACUCCGACGGGAGGUAGCAGUGGGGAAUAUUGGACAAUGGGGGGAACCCUGAUCCAGCCAUGCCGCGUGUGUGAAGAAGGCCUUAUGGUUGUAAAGCACUUUAAGCGAGGAGGAGGCUACUCUAGUUAAUACCUAGGGAUAGUGGACGUUACUCGCAGAAUAAGCACCGGCUAACUCUGUGCCAGCCGCCGCCGUAA
rnacentral:rRNA from 1 species